rnacentral:lncRNA from 1 species
GGCAUUCAUCUCCUUGAAAUCUGUUUCUCAACCUAAAUUAUAACAACAACAAACAAGUCUUUUCCCACUAAGUGGGGUCAGCGCCAACCUAAAUUUUAAGAGAUACUUUUUUUAAAAAAAUUAUUUAUUUUUAAUUUUUUAAAUUCAAGUUAGUUGCCUACAGAGAUUAACAUGAGUUUGAGGGGAGUUGUUUGCAAUAUUUGUACAAAUAAUAUUCACCUUAAUUGACAUCAUCAUUUGUUUGUAAUCGUCUUUCCUUCUUUUUUGUAUUGCUUGAUUAUCUCUUGUUUAUCCUACAUUUGGUACUAUAAAAUCAUAGGACUAUAAAUAAGUUCAGCAUCUAGUAUUUUAUAAGAAAUGUUAAUAAUAUUUAUAUAAUCUUUAACUCUUAUGUAUAAUUUCUAUCUUUGACUUUGAAAAUUGCAAGUGAGACUAAAAAUAAGUAUAUUCCUUCCACAUGAUAUUUUAUAACCGC